AUUCUUCCGAUGUCUUUUUUUUUUUUAAAGUUACCCGUAAAAGAGAGAUGGAGCAGAGAGGAUUCAGUCGCGAUUUAAAGUCAGACUUGGCAGAUAAGCCGACUGCUGCUGAAGCAGCUUGGUGACAGGAUACCGAGGUCGCCAGCUGGACGACUAGCGACGGGCUGGCUACCGCGAAUGCAAAGUGAGAAACGACUCCGGGGAAAUACAUUCUGUGUGGAUCCAGACAGCGGAGCGGACAGUCAUGUCUCCCUCUCCUCCUCCCAGCGAGCGAGACAGGCCAGGAAGUGGCUCCAGAUACGUCACCCCCGACCAACCAAAGCGCCAGAUAGCUAACUCCGCCCGCCGCCCUCCGCCCUCCGGCCCGCCCCCUCCCCGCUCUCCAAACUUCCAGGCGCCCACAGAGGAUGGACAGCUCAUAUUUCCGAGGCAAUUGCUGAAGCAUGCAGCUAAUACAGUGCGCUUAAAAAGGAAACAAAUGUGACGCUGUUAUAGAUUUUGUGCGGGUGAUAUUGUAAAGACAGCAAAAAAUAAACCACAGUGUACUGUUGUAGGAGCAUUGUGCUCAAAAGUAGCACUUACAUUUACCACAGUUAAAUGCCAAGUGUAAUGCCACUGUUUAUUAAAUACAUUACAUAUUGUGUACUUUUGACAGUACAGAGACAGUAUUUAGAACCUGUUCUUAAAACAGCUCUAAUCAUUAUAGCCUACGAUAUAAACAAUGGAUCAAAUAACUACGUGUAAUAUUAAAGGUGUUGCUUGUGGUGACAAAUGCACUGAGAAUUAUUCCUGCUUCCCCUCAGCUCUACACAGCUAUUUAGCUUCUUUUAACUUGUUGUUGGGGUUUUGUGAUUUGCAACUUUAUUGUUGUGAUCCAUUCUCAGCUCUCUCAUCAGCAUCCUUUUCAGACACAUCAGGCAAUGUUGUGUUUACAGUUUGCUGCACUGCCCCCGAUUGGUCAAAAAAUAAAUGAGUUAAUGUGUUACUGCAGCUUUAAGUGAAAGUGGCAAUACUUUGGUGUACUUCAUUACAAGUAAAAUGUCUGCAUUCAUAAUUUUA